GGAGCGGCCGGGCUGCGGGGGCUGGGCGCGGCUGAGGAGAAAUGGCGGGAACGGGGCGGCGGGUGUGCGGGGCCUGGUGGGGCGGCUGUCCCCGGCGCUGCGGGCAGGGCCCGGUCACCCCUUGCCAUGGCGGCCUCGGGGGCAGCGCAGCAGCCGGUGGGCACCAGGGCGUCGGGGGGGUCAUGGAGACCCCUCACUGCCCGGGGCCUCGGGGCUGCCCUUCCCCAGCGGGGCGGUGGGCCUUGGGUCGGGCCCCAGAGGCACAAACAGCGCUGCCCUCGCAGCCUGGGUUGUGAAAUGGCACAGCAAACAGCACAGUCGCAAGGGGAGGGAACUACAAAAAUGCUUCAAAAGGAGCAUUUUAAAGGAAAAUGGGAGUGGCGGGGCACACGGGGCACCUGCCCAUCCAGGCUGAAGUGGUGAGGGCUGUGCUCCUCCGAGCCUAUCUCCUGUGUGGGCUGGAUAACACCGUAUUGGAUUUGUUGUAAUGUAAUUAUUUGUGUAUCGGGUCACAGGGAUCAAUGCGUAGUGAGCAGUGCUGCCAAGUCAGAUCUCAUCUAGGAGGUCCUUAUCCCUGAGGAAACACAGGGGAGCAUGUGUCAGACAAACACGGGGGGAAUUACCUUGCGAUUCCCGAUGGCCGUGCCCCGCGCUGGGGCUGCUGUGAGCCGCUGCCACUGGAGGGCAACAGGAGACCACCGGAUUUCUCGCACCCCCGAACCUGCGGUAGACCUAAAAUGAGCACAAAGGGUAAAUGAAAUCAAUCCGCUGUUGCAGAAUCGGUCUGCUGGGAAGCAGAGCCCCGCAGAAAGAUGAGGGAGCUGCAGCAUGCCGGGGAGAUCAAGCCCUAAUUAGCUUUUUAUGUGUUUUCUCCCCUGUAUUAUUUCCCAAAAAAGUUUCUAAAUCUUU